UACGUAGGGACCAAGCGUUGUUCGGAUUUACUGGGCGUAAAGGGCGCGUAGGCGGUGCGGUAAGUCACUUGUGAAAUCUCUGAGCUUAACUCAGAACGGCCAAGUGAUACUGCAGUACUAGAGUGCGGAAGGGGCAAUCGGAAUUCUUGGUGUAGCGGUGAAAUGCGUAGAUAUCGAGAGGAACACCUGCGGCGAAGGCGGGUUGCUGGGCUGACACUGACGCUGAUGCGCGAAAGCCAGGGGAGCGAACGGG
rnacentral:rRNA from 1 species